UCUCCGUAGGUGAACCUGCGGAGGGAUCAUUCACAUGAUUUACCUUAUAAACAAACUGUGAACUUUAUUAUCAUACUAUUCUUGUAGGGAUUAUUUUAUAAUCUUUUACAACGUCAUUCGAUGAACAUUAGAUAGUUGGCUUGUUUUUUUUAAUAAAAAACUUUCUCAGCUGAUUUGUUUGUUAGACUAAACAUCUAUUCAAUCAAUCAACCAAAAACAUAGAAUCAACUCUAUGCCCUGGAUAUCUUGGUUCUC
rnacentral:misc_RNA from 1 species